rnacentral:rRNA from 1 species
UACGAAGGGGGCUAGCGUUGCUCGGAAUCACUGGGCGUAAAGGGUGCGUAGGCGGGUCUUUAAGUCAGGGGUGAAAUCCUGGAGCUCAACUCCAGAACUGCCUUUGAUACUGGCGAUCUUGAGUCGGAGAGGUGAGUGGAACUGCGAGUGUAGAGGUGAAAUUCGUAGAUAUUCGCAAGAACACCAGUGGCGAAGGCGGCUCACUGGCCCGGUACUGACGCUGAGGUGCGAAAGCGUGGGGAGCAAACAGG